rnacentral:lncRNA from 1 species
UUUCCGAUCGAGAGCCUGAUGAUGUGGCAGCUUGUGCUUACGUGUGCUGGUGGCGAUUGAAGAUUCUGCUAUGCCAUUAUGCUGGAGAAGAGAUUCUGUUCGGUAGUUGUUUUCAGAGGUAUGUUCUCAAUCCGGAGUGUUAGAUUUUUGAAUUUUCGCAUGUGCAUUGUCCUCGAAGUUGAAGCUUUGACUGCGUAUUUGAAAUUGCAUAUAAGAUGUUCGAUUAUGAGUUCACGAGCUGACUAAUUAUUAAUUAAGUUUUGGUUCAGGUGUGGUACGUGUUCAAUUAAAGUAUUAUUAGCUGAUGGCGAUGGUUGUUGAAGCGAAGUCUCGACAAUGGUUGAAGAAGCUUCUAGAGCAUGUAACUAGGUAUUUUUCUUGUAUAAUUUUAACGAGAAGAGAGAGAGAGAGAGACCGAUAGAGAGAUAGAGAAGUUUGGGGAGAGAGAGAGAGAUAGAGAGAGAGAGAGACUCGUAUGGUUGUCUCUACGAUCGACCUUUGCCAUGAACUCGCAUGGCAGGUCACCGCAUUAAUAAAAUAUUAUUUUUUGUGUCGGAGGGGAGAUGGCACAGGCGAUUUGCUCGGCUCUCUCCUGAGUGUGUCGUUCCCUUUUUUUAUUUUUUUCGCUCCGUCUUAUGUUAAUGGCGGCACUUCAAUUGUAAUUUAUUUCGAUGGAAUCUAUAAAAUAAAAAUUAGACUGGUUACUCUUCCUUCGACUCUGUUGGAGCAGAUGUAUUCAUCUUACAUUUAUUUAUUAGGUUAAAUUACAAAUACCCCCCUGAG